rnacentral:rRNA from 1 species
GGGGAAUUUUGCGCAAUGGACGGAAGUCUGACGCAGCAACGCCGCGUGCGGGGUGAAGGCUUUCGGGUUGUAAACCGCUUUCAGAUUGAACGAUUGUGACGGUACUUUCAGAAGAAGGUGCGGCCAACUACGUGCCAGCAGCCGCGGUGACACGUAGGCACCAAGCGUUGUCUGGAUUUAUUGGGCGUAAAGAGCUCGUAGGCGGUUCGGUAAGUCGGGUGUGAAAUCGGCGGGCUUAACUCGUCGUGUGCAUUCGAUACUGCUGUGACUGGAGUGCAGUAGGGGAGCGGGGAAUUCCUAGUGUAGCGGUGAAAUGCGCAGAUAUUAGGAGGAACACCGGUGGCGAAGGCGCCGCUCUGGGCUGUUACUGACGCUGAGGAGCGAGAGCAUGGGGAGCGAAC